UUUAACGGCCGCGGUAUAUUGACCGUGCAAAGGUAGCAUAAUCAUUAGUCUUUUAAUAGAGGGCUGGAAUGAAGGGUUUAACGAAGUACUUACUGUCUCAUUUAAUUUGAUAUUAAAAUUUACUUUUUCAGUCAAAAAGCUGAAAUACUAUUGGAAGACGAGAAGACCCUAUAGAGCUUUAUAUUUAGUUAUUUAAUAAAUUUUUGAUAUAAUUAUUAUUUAUUAUUUAAUAAAAUAUUUUGUUGGGGUGACAAAAAUAUAUAAUUAACUUUUUUAUUUAUAUAACAUUGAUAUAUGAAAAAUAGAUCCAGUUUUACUGAUUGUUAGAAUAAGUUACCUUAGGGAUAACAGCGUAAUCUUCCUUCAGAGUUCAUAUUCACAGGGAGGCUUGCGACCUCGAUGUUGGAUUAAGAUUAUAAUUAGGUGUAGCCGCUUAAAAAAUAGGUCUGUUCGACCUUUAAAUUCUUACAUGAUCUGA
rnacentral:rRNA from 1 species